rnacentral:lncRNA from 1 species
GGUGAAGUAGUAAAAGGUUUCCGGGUACUUCUUUACUAUGUGAUCAAGUAGGUCUAAAACUCUGAGUUGACUUGACCUCAUAGUCCUGCGGCCAAUACACAAGUUCACUGUGUAACAGAGACAAACUGGAACCUUUUGCAUAAUCAACCCAUCCUGGAAGAAAUGCAAGGCCAAAAAUAUCUUUGUCCUCUAUUAACAUAUAAAAACGUAAAAUUUAACAAUCUCUGUGUGUAAAAAAAAAUACUGGAGUUGAACAGAUUCAGUAUACAUAAAUACAAGUAGAUUGGCAGAAGAAAUAACAAAACCAUUAUCGAUACUAGAAAAUGAGGCAAGAUUAGUGCAGUAUGUAAAUGAAAGGAACCUGCAUUCAUAUACCUGGGGUACCUUCACAAACUUCAAGUUAUAGAAUGGAGAAGAAAGUCAACAUAAUCACCUAACUAGUAUGGAGUAU